GUGCUCGCUUUGGCAGCACAUACACUAAAAUCGGAACGAUACAGAGAUUAGCGUGGCCCCUGCACAGGGAUGGCAUGCCAAUUCACGAAACGGUCCAUAUUUUU